rnacentral:misc_RNA from 1 species
AGAGAGAGAGAGAGAGAGAGCAGGGAUACAUAUAUAUAUUAUAAGACACAGAAGACUGCUUGAAAUAUAAGCAGAGGGAGAGAAAAAUAGACCUUUGGAAGCUGGAAUAGACUUUAUUAAAAUUAAAUAAAUUAAAAGGGUUUUAGUGUUGCAGUGACAGUGAGGGUUUUUAAUUUUAGCAAGUUAAAGAUUUUAGGGCGCUAACAUAGAGAGCGAUGGGAGGGGUGAGGGAGCUUGGUUGUGACAGGUCAGAGCGCUGCAGUGCAGUUUCGCGAGAGAGGGAGUCGGAGUGCCGGGUGAAUUUAAUAACAAAUCAAGUAAAGUAAUUGUGUAGAGAUAGACGUAAUUUU